CUACGUGCCAGCAGCCGCGGUAAUACGUAGGGUGCGAGCGUUAAUCGGAAUUACUGGGCGUAAAGCGAGCGCAGACGGUUACUUAAGCAGGAUGUGAAAUCCCCGGGCUCAACCUGGGAACUGCGUUCUGAACUGGGUAGCUAGAGUAUGUCAGAGGGGGGUAGAAUUCCACGUGUAGCAGUGAAAUGCGUAGAGAUGUGGAGGAAUACCGAAGGCGAAGGCAGCCCCUUGGGAAUAUACUGACGCUCAUGUGCGAAAGCGUGGGGAGCAAACAGGAUUAGAUACCCUGGUAGUCCACGCUGUAAACGAUGUCGAUUUGGGGGUUGAACUUUGAGUUUGGCGCCCGUAGCUAACGUGAUAAAUCGACCGCCUGGGGAGUACGGCCGCAAGGUUAAAACUCAAAUGAAUUGACGGGGGCCCGCACAAGCGGUGGAGCAUGUGGUUUAAUUCGAUGCAACGCGAAGAACCUUACCUACUCUUGAC
rnacentral:rRNA from 1 species